AAUAGGAAGGAUAAAUGGAGGGAGAGGUUGGCUCUCCAGGAUCAGCAAGGGCAAGUGAGUAAGGUCUACGAGGAGGCAGGGGGCUCUCGCUCUCCUGCUGACCUGAAAGAAGCAAGUGGCUGUAUUGUGAACUGCCUAAUGGAGAGGGCCACGUCGCGGGAAACUGGGGACGGCCUCAGGAGCUGAGUAACCUCUGGCCAACAGCCAGCAAGAAACUGAAUCUGUUGGUGCUACAGCUGCGAGGGAGUGAAUUCGGCAACAAGCUGAGUGAGCUUGGAAGUGAAUUCCUUCCUCAAGAUAAAAACACAGGCUGGCGGAUACCUUGGUUGCAGCCUUGUGUGACCCAGAGCCCAAGACCCAGUUAAGUCAUGCCUGGACUCCUGAUCUGCAGAAACCGGGAGACAGUAAAUGUGUGGUGUUUAAGCUGCUAAAUUUGUGGCAAUGUUUUUUACGCAGCAAUAGAAAACUAAUAUAUCCUCCCACCAGCAGUGUGUGAGAAUUUGACAUGCUUUCUGCCAAACCCCUCGUAUUGUCAGUCUUUUUAACUUUGGCCAUGCUGGUGGGUGUGUAUUGUGAUUUUAAUUUGAAUAUUCUAGAUGACUAAUAAUGUUGAGCACUUUUUCAUAUGCUUAUUGGUCAUUUGGAUAUACUCUUUAAUGAAGUGCCUUUCAAAUAUUUUCCCAUUAAAAAAAAUUGAGUUGCCUGUCUUUUUUUUUUUUUUUUGCUGGGAAAGAUUCACCCUGAGCUAACAUCUGUU
rnacentral:lncRNA from 1 species